CGGGCAAUGACAUCGAGCCCAUGGAGGUGGACCCGCCUGGCAGUGACACGGAGCCAAUGGAGGUGGAUCUGCCUCCGGAGGAUGACAUGAUGGAGGUGGAUCCACCUCCGCUGCUGCAGACCAGCCACCGCAGCACCACUGCCAGGCCGAUCAGAAAGAGGUUGCGCCCCAGGGAUCGCCGGGGCGCCAGGAUCCGUCCACCUCCAUCCAAACGGCCGCCUCGACGCCGGUGCUGAUGCUCCCACCCCGUAAGUUUGCCCUCAUCCAGGAGAGCCCCAGCUCAGGGCCACCCUGUGGGCUCACACAGAGCCUCCAUUUCCUGGUCGUUCUUCUUUUCACAGCCAAGGCUCCGACGAGUCUGUCUUUCCCAUCCCCUUGUCCCUUCCCAAGUCCUCUCAUCUCUUCUUCACUGAAUCCUGAGGAAGAGAGCGGGGCAGGGACUGCCAUCCUCUGAGCUGCUGUGAGGAGGCAGCAGAACAAGUUCAGCAGAGGGACCUCGACUUCUGGGGACACUGAACAACGUAGAGGCACAAGGAUCCUCUGAGGCUUCCAUGAGCCCCUCCUUCCUGUCCCACUCCCUCAUCCCUCCCCAGGGGGAGUGGAGGGGUCAGAGAAGUGACAGAGGCAGCUGCUGGUGUGAAGAAGCAGACUUUGGUUUGGACAGGAAGAAGUCCUGAACUUCAGCAGGAAGAUGCAGCCCAGAUGCUUCACUUGGACUUUUUGUUCAAGAGUCAACGGUUAAUCAACAGUCAAUUUAAAAUAGAAAUACAAAAUAAUAAAAAAGUAAAAAAAA